rfam:Synechococcus sp. PCC 7335 scf_1103496006895 genomic scaffold, whole genome shotgun sequence.
AACAAUCGAAUAUAGCGACCAGAGACAGUAGGUGUCACUAGCUAUUUUAACUAUCGGCUUUUUGCGGUUAGUUGUUUUAGAGACUGAGACUUAAUCUCCUACCGAGGUUUGCGAUUGAUAGCUAAGCUCUAUGCAAGACUGCGCGAGACUGCUUCGAUACGUAUGCCCCAAUCUGGUUUCUAGAUUGGGGUUUAUGUGUGUGAGG